GCUGGGCGUGGUGGUGCAUGCCUGUAAUCCCAGCUACUUGGGAGCCUGAGGCAGGAGAAUCGCUUGAACCUGGGAGGCAGAGGUUGCGGUGAGCCGAGAUCAUGCCACUGCACUCCAGCCUGGGUGACAGAGCAAGACCCUGUCUCAA
ensembl:misc_RNA Metazoa_SRP Metazoan signal recognition particle RNA